UGAUAUUUCCCCCGUUCUCCCCAAUUAACCCGCGAUAUUUCCCCCCGAAAAAUUUCCCUAAAAUCGCCGCACCCCCCAAAAAUCUCCCCAGCCCUCGAAUCUUCAUCGUCGAAGUCUGACCGCGGCCGUCGGCCAACGUGCCUUUCGUCCACCGGCACUCUCGCCCUCCCCCACCGCCUUCAUCUUUGCCGGCACUCUCGUCCACCGACUCUCGCCGGGGAUCUUGCUUCACCGCCUCCUCCUCCACCGCCUCUCGAUUCCACCGCAUCCUCCUCCACCGCGUCCUCCUCCACCGCACUCUCGUCCACUAUUUUUAUGGGGCAAUUUUUUCUUUUUUGUUUUUUUUUUGUUUUUUGUUUUUUUUUUUGGUUUUUUUUUUUUUUUUUGGGUUUUAAGGCUAAAGCUUUGAUGGGUUUAUGAUGUUUAGGAUGUUUAUGCUCUGCCCACAUCUUGAUGAGAAGCAGAGGAUGAGGCUGAGCAGGGAUUUGGGGUUGGAACCAAAACAGAUCAAGUUUUGGUUUCAAAAUAGGAGGACCCAAAUGAAGUUAACAUUUUUUAACUUACUGUCUUCAACUAUUUUUGUGUUUUUUUGGAGAAAGUUUUGUUAGAUUUGGGUAUGAGAACAAAAAAGGGGCCUUUUAGGUUUCUGCUAUCAAGGUUUAAAAAAAAGAUUAUUACCAUUGUUGUGUUUCUAAGUUAGAUUGGUGAUAUUUUCUUUGAUGUAGGCACAACAUGAGAGGCAAGAUAACUGCUCUCUUCGUGCGGAAAAUGAUAAGAUCAGAUGCGAGAACAUUGCAAUGAGAGAGGCUUUGAAGAACAUAAUCUGCCAAAUUGCGGAGGACCUCCAGUAAAUGAAGACUCCUAUUUUGAUGAGUAGAAGCUUAGAAUGGGGAAUGCUAGAUUAAAAGAAGAGAUGUUUGGCCUCUCUAGCAAGCAGUCAAAAAUGCUACAUAGUCAGUUUUGUACUAGCCGUUUAAACAUAGAAGAUUAACACAUGAAGUAAUUUUUUUCGCCAAAAUUUGAGAAUAAAAACCUUUUUCUUAACACACUGGAUUUUUUCAAAGACUUAAUGACAGGAUUUUUUCAAAGCCCGGGCAUCAUUUUUUAGGCCCUGAUACCCGAGUUGAGGCCUCGAGUGAUUCUGGUGUUGUGUUCAUGAGCCUUGUGGCUUUGGUUGAUAUGUUCAUGGACUCGGUUAAGUGGAUGAAACUAUUUCCAACUAUAGUUUCUAAUGCAAGAAACAUAUAUACUUGGACAACCUAUUGCUCAAGGUUUGUCACGGGAGAAUCUUACUAAGAUAUUUGCAGAAUUAAGGCGUUUGGGCUUGUCCCAGGAGGACAUUCUUCGAGGAAUUUCUUAUGUUCCUUGACUGGAUGGAUCAGGCCACUCCUAUCUUAUAUUUUGGACGUAUGAGUCAUUUUGGAUAUUGGAGACAUAUAUAAUAUUGGAUGUUUUUCAUUGUGAGAUAUUGAGUAAUCAUUGUGUAUGUAUAUGUUUUUUCUCUAAUAUUAUAUGUUGAGUAAUCAUUGUGUAUGUAUAUAUAAUAUUGGAUAUUUAGCAUCGUUUGAGACGUAUAUAUAACACUGGAUAUAUAGCACUGUUUUGAGACA